UACGUAGGGGGCAAGCGUUGUCCGGAUUUAUUGGGCGUAAAGAGCGUGUAGGCGGCCAGGUAGGUCCGUUGUGAAAACUCGAGGCUCAACCUCGAGACGCCGAUGGAAACCAUCUGGCUAGAGUCCGGAAGAGGAGAGUGGAAUUCCCGGUGUAGCGGUGAAAUGCGCAGAUAUCGGGAAGAACACCCGUGGCUAAGGCGGCUCUCUCGGAACGCAACUGACGCUGAGAACGCGGAAAGCGUGGGGAGCAAACAGG
rnacentral:rRNA from 1 species